rnacentral:rRNA from 1 species
GCCCUAGUAACGGCGAGUGAAGCGGCAACAGCUCAAAUUUGAAAUCUGGCGCAAGCCCGAGUUGUAAUUUGUAGAGGAUGUUUCUGGCGACGUGCCUUCCGAGUUCCCUGGAACGGGACGCCAUAGAGGGUGAGAGCCCCGUACGGUUGGAUGCCUAGCCUCUGUGAAACUCCUUCGACGAGUCGAGUAGUUUGGGAAUGCUGCUCUAAAUGGGAGGUAUACGUCUUCUAAAGCUAAAUACCGGCCAGAGACCGAUAGCGCACAAGUAGAGUGAUCGAAAGAUGAAAAGCACUUUGAAAAGAGGGUUAAAAAGUACGUGAAAUUGUUGAAAGGGAAGCGUUCAUGACCAGACUUGGGCAGGUUGAUCAUCCGUGGUUCUCCGCGGUGCACUCUGCCUGCCCAGGCCAGCAUCAGUUCGCCCCGGGGGAUAAAGGCUUCGGGAAUGUGGCUCCUCCGGGAGUGUUAUAGCCCGCUGCGUAAUACCCUGGGGCGGACUGAGGUUCGCGCACUGCAAGGAUGCUGGCGUAAUGGUCAUCAACGACCCGUCUUGAAACACGGACCAAGGAGUCGUCUUCGUAUGCGAGUGUUCGGGUGUCAAACCCCUACGCGUAAUGAAAGUGAACGUAUGAGAGAGCUUCGGCGCAUCUCCGACCGAUCCUGAUGUUCUCGGAUGGAUUUGAGUAAAAG